rnacentral:rRNA from 1 species
AGCGAACGCUGGCGGCAGGCUUAACACAUGCAAGUCGAGCGGGCGUAGCAAUACGUCAGCGGCAGACGGGUGAGUAACGCGUGGGAACGUACCUUUUGGUUCGGAACAACACAGGGAAACUUGUGCUAAUACCGGAUAAGCCCUUACGGGGAAAGAUUUAUCGCCGAAAGAUCGGCCCGCGUCUGAUUAGCUAGUUGGUAGGGUAACGGCCUACCAAGGCGACGAUCAGUAGCUGGUCUGAGAGGAUGAUCAGCCACAUUGGGACUGAGACACGGCCCAAGCUCCUACGGGAGGCAGCAGUGGGGAAUAUUGGACAAUGGGCGCAAGCCUGAUCCAGCCAUGCCGCGUGAGUGAUGAAGGCCCUAGGGUUGUAAAGCUCUUUUGUGCGGGAAGAUAAUGACGGUACCGCAAGAAUAAGCCCCGGCUAACUUCGUGCCAGCAGCCGCCGUAACAC